rnacentral:tRNA from 1 species
GCAGCGGUAGUUCAGUUGGUUAGAAUACAGGCCUGUCACGCCGGGGGACGCGGGUUCGAGCCCCGUCCGCUGCGCCA